rnacentral:rRNA from 1 species
GACGAACGUUGGCGGCGUGCUUAAUACAUGCAAGUCAACUGAAGCAGUGGUAGCAAUAUCGCUGUGGAGGUGGCGCACGGGUGAGUAACACGUAGGUAAUCUGCCUUCAGGUCUGGCAUAACUCCGGGAAACCGGGGCUAAUAGCAGAUGAUGCAGCGGCUCGACAUCGAGACAGUUGUUAAAGCUAUGGCGCCUGAAGAUGAGCCUGCGUCUGAUUAGCUAGUUGGCGGGGUAACGGCCCACCAAGGCAACGAUCAGUAGCUGGUCUGAGAGGAUGAUCAGGCACACUGGAACUGAGACACGGUCCAGACUCCUACGGGGGGCAGCAGUAAGGAAUAUUGCUCAAUGGGUGAAAUCCUGAAGCAGCAACGCCGCGUGAGGGACGAAGGUCUUUUGCUUGUAAACCUCUGUAGUGAGAGAAAAAAAUCCCAAUCUUUGGGACAUGAUGGUAUCUCAAAAGUAAGCCCCGGCUAACUACGUG